rnacentral:misc_RNA from 1 species
AAGUCGUAACAAGGUUUCCGUAGGUGAACCUGCGGAAGGAUCAUUAACACGUUUCUUUUGAACGUUAUCUCAACCAAACGGUUAAAUGCCAACCAUUCCCUAAUUGGGUUUAGAGUUGUUGAUAGUAUUUAGUGAUGGGUAAGGCUUGUCCUUACGAGUGCUAUCAGCUAUUGGGCUUCGAGCUCAGGACUCUCCCUUUUAGGCUUUUAUUUUCUAGCUCUCCAUCAUUGGCGUUUUUUAACCAUUUUCACCUCUAUUUCUUAAAUAUGUCUAAAAUCCUAUCCUCUGAGCGACAUGAUCUUUUGGUUGUGUUUGUUUGUUGGAUGUACUCUAAUGAGUUUGUACAACUCUUAGCAAUGGAUAUCUUGGUUCUC